GGUGAACGCUGGCGGCGUGCUUAAGACAUGCAAGUCGAACGGCAGUCUUCGGACUGUAGUGGCGCACGGGUGAGUAACGCGUAACUGACCUACCCCAAAGUCGCGGAUAACGAUUCGAAAGAAUUGCUAAUACGUGAUGUGCUGUCAGAUUGUGUUCUGCCAGUAAAGAUUGAUUGCUUUGGGAUGGGGUUGCGUUCCAUCAGCUAGUUGGUGGGGUAAAGGCCCACCAAGGCGACGACGGAUAGCCGGCCUGAGAGGGUGGCCGGCCACAGGGGCACUGAGACACGGGUCCCACUCCUACGGGAGGCAGCAGUCAGGAAUCUUCCACAAUGGGCGAAAGCCUGAUGGAGCGACGCCGCGUGAGGGAUGAAGGUCUUCGGAUCGUAAACCUCUGAAUCAGGGACGAAAGACACUUCGGUGGGAUGACGGUACCUGAGUAAUAGCACCGGCUAACUCCGUGCCAGACGCCGCGGUAACAC
rnacentral:rRNA from 1 species